UGCCGUAGGACUUCCCUCCGGGGGUCACUUUUUCUUGUGCCUUGUGUUCUGUGUUGUGUUUGUAACGUUUGUAGAGUGCCUGUGUGUGUAUGUGUUUGGUCUGGAGCUGUCCUGCCUGGCAGUGAGUGAUGACAGCUAAGGUGGCAGUCCAUCCUAAUACAUUAUCCGGACUGUUUUGGCAAAGACAUCUGGUGUUCCUCUGGGCGCGUACUGAAGGGCAGCUGGCACAGUCAUCUCUGUGGUGUUUGCAGAUGUGGAGGGUGGGAGAGCUGAGCUGCUUGUGAGCAGCUGUUUGCAUAGUGCUUGAACUGGUGUGCUGGAGGAGGUUUGUUGAAUCUUGAAAGCUUACAGAUACGGGGUUUUGAAACUUUUAUUUAUUUCCCCUCCCCUGUAGAGUACAAACGUUAGGAGGAACCAGUCACAGGAAGGAGCUCCUGGGACUGUCCAGCACUCGCUGAAACACGGUGUACAACAUGGGACAUCACACCCAGAGCUGCCUCUGGCAAGAGGUGUUGUAGCUGGCAUAAGAGCAGAUGGAAGCAUCUGCCUCGAGGGCAGGUGAGGGGGCAGAGGUGUUUCACACAGGCUCAGAGGAGCCAAGCUGCACUCUGAAGAGCAGCACGAGAAGGGCGGGGUGGUUGUGAGCUGGGUUGGAGCAGAACGGCCAAGUAGCACAAGGUGACUCUGAAAGGUGUCUGUCUCGCUUUGCGGGUGCUGUGGCAGGCUCCCCACAGAACUGGCUGAGGAUUUGAGAUAAGGCCAGAGAGCGACAAGGAGCAGCACGUGCAGGGAUGGUUUCCAAGCGCAUGCAGGUGGCUUUCUCUUCUGUUCAUCAGGUGCCACAGGCAAGGUGAAGAGGCGCCUGAAGCCCCAUCCUAUCCAGCCUGCGCACACUUAUCUGAGAAUGACAGCUGCUUUCCAGUAAUUCAGAAAGCCACGUUACGUCUCAGCCUUGAGCAUCUGGGGCUUGUGCCUGGGCUUUUGGGUCUGUCUGUAACAUUUGGCACCAGCGCUAAUACUUUUUUUGGUGUA